rnacentral:misc_RNA from 1 species
AAAUACCGACAGCUGCUGGUCCGCACACUGCAUCAGUGCUGUAUCAAGUUCCAGGACAUUGCUGCCACCAUCAUCCCUGUGCUGAUCGAGUUUCUGGGAGAUCAGAACGAGCUGGCAGCACUGGACGUGUUGGUGUUUGUGAGGGAGGCCAUCCAGAGGUUCGAGUCACUGAGGGGACUCAUCAUCAGCAAACUGCAGGAAAUCUUCCCCUCCAUCAAAGCCAUGAAGAUCCACAGAGCUGCAUUGUGGAUUCUAGGAGAAUAUUGCGAAACCAAUGAUGACAUCCAGAAUGUCAUGACCAUGAUCCGACAAGCAUUGGGAGAGAUUCCAAUUGUGGACGAUGAAAUAAAGAAAGCUGCUGGAGAAGUGGCUGAUGAUGAGAUGCAGUCCGGUGGACAGGUACAGAAGUUGGUGACAGCUGAUGGAACCUACGCCACACAGAGUGCAUUUAGUUCUGCCCCAUCUUCCGCAAAGAAAGAAGAGAGACCACCCAUGAGGCAAUACAUGAUGGACGGAGAUUUCUUUGUGGGAGCAGCUUUGGCCACCACCCUGACAAAACUGGCCCUCAAAUACAUCGCUAACACUCCAGAUGUCAAGAGGCAAAAUUCUCUGGUGGCUGAAUCUAUGUUGAUCAUGGCUGCUAUUAUUCAUCUUGGAAAGUCUGGAUUGCCCACAAAGCCAAUCACAGAUGAUGAUGUGGACAGGAUUGCAACCUGUCUGAAGGUGCUGGCCGAGAAGACCCCGCUGAUGGGCGAGAUCUUUAACACCGACUGUAGACAGUCCCUCUCCCUGAUGCUGGCAGCCAAGAUGGAGGAAGAAAAAGAACUCCAGAGGGCUUCAGAGAAGAGAACUGUCAAGGUUCAAGCUGAUGACCCUAUAUCAUUCGCUCAGCUCGUCAACAAAGCAGAAAUGGGAGCUACUGAGAACAUGUUUGAGCUGACAUUGUCUCAAGCUUUAGGAAUGUCAGGCAAGAAAGAUGGUGAUCCUAUUGGAGCUUCUAAACUGAAUAAGGUAACCCAGCUGACUGGUUUCUCGGAUCCUGUGUAUUCAGAGGCCUACGUCAAUGUGAACCAGUUUGACAUCGUGCUGGAUAUCCUGGUUGUAAACCAGACAUCUGACACUCUGCAGAACCUGACAGUGGAGCUGGCUACUCUAGGUGACUUGAAGCUGGUGGAAAAACCCACACCAAUGACCAUGGCUCCACAUGAUUUCUGCAAUAUCAAAGCCAAUGUCAAAGUGGCCUCCACAGAAAAUGGAAUCAUAUUUGGAAACAUAGUGUACGACAUAAGUGGAGCAGGCAGUGACCGUAACUGUGUGGUGCUCAACGACAUCCACAUCGACAUCAUGGACUACAUCGUGCCCGCCUCCUGCGACGACACCGAGUUCCGACAGAUGUGGGCCGAGUUUGAGUGGGAGAACAAGGUGGCCGUCAACACCAACGUCUCAGAUCUUGCCGAGUUCCUGCAACACGUCAUCAAGAUCACCAACAUGAGAUGUCUCACUCCCGAGAAGGCAUUGAAGGGAGACUGUGGUUUUAUGGCAGCCAACAUGUACGCCAAGUCCAUCUUUGGGGAGAAUGUCCUGGCCAAUCUGAGUAUAGAGAAGCCUGCCCACCUGUCAAAGGACUCACCUGUGCAGGGUCACAUCCGUAUCCGGGCCAAAAGUCAGGGCAUGGCUUUGAGCAUGGGGGACAAGAUCAACCUUUCUCAGAAGAGUAUUGGCAAAGGACAGUAGGAGAUGUUGGAUUCUGUGAAUCUACUCGAUAUAAAGGACUGGACAUUGGAAAAUUGCAUUUUUGAUUUUUUGUCAAUAAUCAAUAUUUAUUAUAUGAUAUAUUCUGAAUAGAAAUGGUUUAUGUACAAGUGAUAGAAGUGAAUAAAUGAAUUCAAAGCAUAAAUU